AGUUAUUCUGCAUCUAUAGAGACAAGGAAAAGUAGUGAGUAUGUAACAUAAAUGACUUUUGUGAAUUCAUAUUUUGGGGAGGGGUUCAAACUAUUACAGUAGAGUUCUUAUAGUUAAUGGCAUGUGCUUCCUGAGAAUGUUUUCAAGUUUGUCUAUAAAUGUUGCUUGUGAUUUAAGUGGUGCAAUCCACAUUCUUAUCUAUCAUCUCCUUGUACAUGUAUGUGAGAUGUACAAAAUGACACAAGAUGUUUUUCUGAGAUAUAUAUUCUGGAGUGGAAUUCUCGGGAAAAAAGGUAUGUCCAUCUUCAUCUUUCCUAAGUGUUGCCAAAUUGCUCUCCUGUAAGAUGUAUCAAUUUAUAGCCCAAUUUACACCAUCAAGUUUCAAAUUUUCACACCCUCACCAGGUCUGGUAGUAUCCUUUCUUCCUUCUUUCCUUCCUUCCUUCUUUUCUCAGUCCCUCUCUUCUUUUUUCUUUUUCUGUCUUGCUUCUUCCUUUAUUAAAUCUUACUCUUCUAGAGAAUGUGAAAAUGUAUCUCAUUGCAGGUUUUCUUAUUCCUUUAUCUGUAGUAACUUAAAAUAUUUGCUCAGUGUUUUCUAC
rnacentral:lncRNA from 1 species